UUGGUGGGGUAAUGGCCUACCAAGGCGACGACGGGUAGCCGGCCUGAGAGGGCGACCGGCCACACUGGGACUGAGACACGGCCCAGACUCCUACGGGAGGCAGCAGUGGGGAAUAUUGCACAAUGGGCGGAAGCCUGAUGCAGCGACGCCGCGUGAGGGAUGACGGCCUUCGGGUUGUAAACCUCUUUCACCCAUGACGAAGCGCAAGUGACGGUAGUGGGAGAAGAAGCGCCGGCCAACUACGUGCCAGCAGCCGCGGUAAGACGUAGGGCGCGAGCGUUGUCCGGAAUUAUUGGGCGUAAAGAGCUCGUAGGCGGCUUGUCGCGUCGGCUGUGAAAUCCCGUGGCUCAACUGCGGGUCCGCAGCCGAUACGGGCAGGCUAGAGUUCGGUAGGGGAGACUGGAAUUCCUGGUGUAGCGGUGAAAUGCGCAGAUAUCAGGAGGAACACCGAUGGCGAAGGCAGGUCUCUGGGCCGAUACUGACGCUGAGGAGCGAAAGCGUGGGGAGCGAACAGGAUUAGAUACCCUGGUAGUCCACGCUGUAAACGUUGGGCGCUAGGUGUGGGGGACCUCUCCGGUUCUCUGUGCCGCAGCUAACGCAUUAAGCGCCCCGCCUGGGGAGUACGG
rnacentral:rRNA from 1 species